AAUGACAUGACUAAACCAAACUCUUCAAUGUUGUAGCCUGAAGAAUUGACAAAUUCACUUUGUAAAUAUCCACGUUUGUACAUAGAUACUGAAAAAAUUAAUUUAAACCAGUUCUUAUAUUAAUUCUCUUGCAUAAUUAUUGUACCGCUCGUGUUUUUAUCAUAUAGAUUUAACUUUGUCUAGAUGUUAAAUCAUUAGAUAUAAUUUUGCCUAGAUGUUAAAACUACUUUGCUCAUUCCCAGUAAAUCUAGUCUCUACAAUCCAUCAAUAAAAGAACACAGGUGAUUAAUAACAUAAAAUAUUAUUCGUCAGAGAGUAGGCAUAAACAAUACGAUUUGGUUUAAAUUUGUUUGUAUAUAAAAAUAUUGAUAAUAAUACAUUUAAAAUUAAUUUACUACGGCACCAUUCCUUUCCCUUGUUAUUUCUUCACGUGAACAUUUCAUUGGAAGACUUAUCACUUCCCUUGGUUAUUUUCUUCACGUAAUCAUCAUUUAUCUCUUUAAUAUUUUUUAUUAAAUAUUCAUUAAAUAAAUAAUUAAUUUAUUUGUAGACGUUUCCUUUCCUUUCCCUUUGUUAUUUCUUCUAGAUAGGAAUUAAAAUUAAAAUGACUCGGAUACCAAAGACUUAUCACUUCCCUUGGUUAUUUCUUCACGUAAUCAUCAUUUAUCUCUUUAAUAUUUUUUAUUAAAUAUUCAUUAAACAAAUAAUUAAUUUAUUUGCAGACGUUUCCUUUCCUUUCCCUUUGUUAUUUCUUCUCGAUUCUCAGUGUCGCAUUCCAGUUCUCUGUCCCUCCCUCCUCUCUCUCCCCUUUCUUCUCUUUCCCCGACCUCUCCUUUUUCUCCUUCACCAACAAACACAAGGACGAAUAGGAACCUGCCCAGUAUGAUGCUCUUCUCGAGGGGGGUGAGCAAGUCACCCCUGUUCUUCAGAAAGUCUCCCCGACAACUACAAGGACGACAUCGGCAAAUUUUACAGUGACCCAGGUCCCUUUUUUCAGUUCUUUGUUCAAGUUUUGUCUAAUCUGGUUAUAGACACCGAAUUCACAACCGAACCGUCAAAGUAUCGGUACGGACGUACCGAUACGGAGUUUGGACGCUAAAUGGCCGAAUCUACCGACCAUGGCUUAUUGACAAUACUUAGAAAAGCACCAUAGUAAUACUUUUGUCUCAAUAGGUGCAGUGGAAGAUGAAAUCGUUGUAGAAGAGAUUGCAAUUUCUCUGCUAAUGGACUGUGGAGUUGUUGGCUGGAUGCUCAGGUCUUCAGAAACGUUGUAGAUGAGGAAAUAAUUUGAGUUUAACGAAUUUCUUCUGCUUCCAAACCGGAGGUGAAAUUUUUUUCUCUAGCCUAUAAGUCUGAGAAACUCACUUGGCAACUGUUUUUGAUCUGCUAAUCUUUGAUUGAAGACCAAAUCUGUACAGGCCAUGCCAACUUUUUCACCUGAUUUGCCAAUAAUCAGAGCAUUGAUUUCAUUCA